GUGGGAAAGCAGGAGCAACAGUGCUAGGAACCAGCUAGGAACCAAAUGAACAAUUUGUUUGAAUCUGGUUUGUCAAAGGGUUGGGGUUCACCAAGAUGACCACUUUAAGAACAGCUUGUAAUAACAGUGAACUCUCAGGACUUCAAGGAUAACUGUACAGAUGACUCAAACGACAUAUCAUGUAGAAAACUGAUCCAGAAGAAUCGCAAGAAGUAAAAGGCUGAAGAGGAGCAGUAGAAGCGAAGGCAAGGCGUCUUCCAUCGUGGGAUAUCAGGCUGCCAUUCUGCUUAUGCCUUCUCCCAUCAGCGGGGUUAUGCUGAUCUUACAGCUUUUGGGCGGAUCAUUCAUUAAAGGAGAGCUUUGUUAACUGCAGUACUUGGCAACAAUUUGGCAGAAGUCAGACAAGCUGAAGAAGCCAGCUGAUAAUUUUCUGUGUCCAUUUUCACAGCCAAUUUAUGAGAUUUUCAGAUAAACAGGGGGGGGGACCUCCAUUUUCUGGCAUUGCAAUGAGGUCUUCUAGGUACUGCCUUGAUUAAUGUAGCACUUCUCUAUAGGCUUCAGUACCAGUCUGCAUAUAAAAAACAAACUGAAAUUGUCCCACCUUGUUUAGCUGUAUUGUGGGCCAGAAAUCUGUGCUUCUUAUAGUGUGGUGUAGUGGUUAAGGUGUUGGACUAUGACCUGGGAGACCAGGGUUCGAAUCCCCACACAGCCAUGAAGCUCACUGGGUGACCUUGGGCCACUCACUGCCUCUCAGCCUCAGAGGAAGGCAAUGGUCAGAAUCAAUUUGAAGGCAGUCCAUUUCCAUUUUUUUAUAAUGAGAUGCAAUCAAUCUUAAUGGUAAAAACUUACACUCUGAUCCUGUACUACACAUGGGGCAGUUACAGAUGCAUGUGUGCAGCCCUUUUCUCCUGAUUCUUUCUUUCUUUCUUUCUUUCUUUCUUUCUUUCUUUCUUUCUUUCUUUCUUUCUUUCUUUCUUUCCUCUGAGCAAGCACGGGGAGUGGGGUCUAGCAGCAGCCAGAGGAUCUAGAAGCAACACUAUCCAGAAGGUGGCAAGACUAGGAGCAGGUAUAUAGAGGUUAUUGUAUCAGCAGUUUACAAGCAGUGACUGAGGUUAUUUAUGCAGCAAUUAGCCUGGCCCCCCAACCUUCCUGGAGUACUUAUAGUCAGACUCAGACAUGGGAAGACUUGAAAGUGGGAAGCCUCUACCAAGUGAGUGCCGUGCUGUCUAGACAAAGCUUUGUUUCAGGCUCAUUGCUGUCUCCAUUCAUGAUGGCAUGGCAAUGAUUGUGGGGGGCCAUGGUCAGGGGUGUAUCCAGGUAAGAUAUAUUUUUCCAGUUUUCUCAGUGGAGAAUUGUUCUGGGGUACAAUCUCAGGGGUUACCUCUGUGUGCCCGAUCUCCCCUGGUCUUGGUUCAUGCAGUAGUCCAUGGUUUAGUCCUCAGAAAAGGAGAUCCCAUCCAGAUUUUGCUCUGGGGCCUUGACACCUUUCUAAAAGCUAAACCCUACCAAUCAGCUGGGCAGGGAAGCAACAGGGACUGGAGCAGGGCCAUUGCUCAGUAGCAGAGCAUCUGCCUUGCAUGCAGAAGGUCCCAGGUUCAACUGCUGACAUCUCCAAGUAGGACUGGGAGAGACUUUUGUCUGAAAUGCUGGAGAGCCGCUGCCAGUCAGUGUAGACAAUACUGAGCUAGAUGGACCAAUGGUCUGACUCUGUAUAAGGCAGAUUCCCAUGUUCCUAUGAAGCAGGAAUCCUUUCCUAAAUAUAUAAUCAUUGCAAUUUUAUCUUUUAAAACACAGUUUUGUGUGCCCAGCCCUGGCAUAGAAAGGUUUACACGCAGCAUUGAGACUGCAUGUAAUUGCAUGUUAUUUUUAUGCAGAUAAUGAUAUAAAUAUGGAAGUCUGAUUAAUACAUGCAGUUCCUUUAGAUGGAUCAGGGCACACAAUUUUAAAUGUGUCCUUCAAAUUGGAAUUGUGAAACAAACAUCAGGCAUAAGUUCUUACAUAAAUCGUACAACAGUCACCAGUAUUUAUAUCACACUAUGAAUAGCUGCAUCCUUGACAUUCCUCAGGCUUUAUGAACCUGAUUUUUCAUCAGAGAACUGAUAUACCAGGCAAGUAUGUUGCUACUGAAAAAGUAUUUUAAUACAUAGUUAUUUUAGAAACAUAGUUUGCAAGUUUUGACCUUUUUAUUCAUGUAACGCAUGAUCAUACAGUGUUUGAACAAUUCAUUUUGUCAAAUUAUUAAAAUCCUAGAAUGAGUCCCUUUGUUCCUUUUCAAAGUCAUCACCAUCCAAGCUGAACCAAUUUUAUAAUAACAGCCAAUUGCAUUUUUUCAGUGCCCAGAAGAAAUUCUUCCGAAGUCUACCAGACCAUUAAGGGUUCUCAUUAGUUCAGAUCAGCAGUUAGAUUUUAGUUGUGUCCUGAUCCAUAGCAAUCUCCAUGUCUGAGAAGAGAUGACAGUCCAAGUAAGAUGUGGGAGGCAGACUCAGGCCUGUGCAAGUUGCCUUCAUGCUAGAGUGAAGUCAGGACACUUGGCAAGUACAAGAGUGUGGGUCAGAAUGCAGGAGCAAGAGAUUCAGGACCACAGGAAUAAAUUCUGCAGCUCAGACCAGGAGGAACAAGUUGCCUCAGCACUGACUUCCUGCAACAGCCAGCACAUCAUAUUGCGGCCAAGGGGUGAAAUCAGACACAGAUACAGUAGUUUGGGUUGAACAAAGGGCCACUUUAUUAAAACUAUAACUAAAACUCCUCAAAGUGACCUGCAGAGGGGAAACCUAGGUGCAGGGACUGUCUAUAAGCAAGCAGCUUAUAAUACAGCUCUCGGGCAGCCAUCCCCUGCUGGGGCAUGGGCAAGACCUUCUGCUUACCCCUUACCCCAGCCACACCCUGUAGGUGAGCAGGGGGCCUUCCCACAUCAUGGGGGCGUGCCCUAGUGAUGUCAUUAAGCAUGAUACAUUAAGCAUCAACCACAGUUACUUGGAGCAUACAACUUAAAGAAAAAUAUUUAUCUGAUUGGAAAUUAAGAUAGAAAUCUUAGCUAAAUGAGGGUAUUUCCAGGUCCAGCUGGAGUGACGGGAUCAUUCCUUCUCACCUGCUUACAUAGCCUGGGUAAGGAACUGGGUUAGGAUUGUGCUGUUGGUAAGGCUUGACCAGGAAUCCUCUGCAACAAUAUCCAUAUCAAAGCAGGAUUGGCAACCCUCUGCUUGGAAUGCCCUGCCUGCCUUUUAACAUGGCUGCUCCAAACUUAUUUACAGACUUGACCCUUCACUGCAGAGAGAGGUUUCAGAAAUGAAUAAGAGUUAAGAAGAUUCUCUACUCUUUCCUGCCUACUCUGUGGGCUGCUAUAAACAAGAGCCAACCCAAUUCUAGUGAGUAGUAACUGACAGAGAGAAAACACAUAUGGCAGUAGCAUGCGAACAACAGCAAUUAAAGCCACACUUCCCAGUAUGUGAAUUCUCUUUUACCACUAUUGGGCAAGAAACAAACUAUCAUGCAAACAACAAGGUGCAUCAUCAGUGGGUUUAAGGGGGUUGAGCUGAACACAUGGAACCACCGUUGCUUUUAUGGAUGUAAGGGAGUAAGGUCAGAGGUAAAUGAAAUGCAAAUAGAAAAAGAAAAAAGACCAUACCAACCACAACAAGAUUUCUGUGAGUAAGAUAGAAAGCAUCCCAAAACCAGUCAGGGUUCCUAACCCAAACUAAAAAAUUUGUGGCAGCCAGUCAGCCAAGGUCAUAGAAAUCCCCAUGCAGCACAACCUGACCUGGGGGCUGCAGUUAGUGCAGAAUGCUGCAGCAGGAUUGCUGAUAUUAGUGAGACCCUAUCAGCACAUAAUAACUCUGCUCUGAAAUCUGCCCUGGUUGCUGAUUUGUUGCCAGGCCAAGUUCAAGGUGUGCUUUCCAUGUUACGGAUGCCACAUCAUACUGAGUUCUGCUCUUGUAAGAAACUGAUCCUUUAGUGUGGCAGUAUCUACCUAUUUACAUUAGGCAGGCACCUUCAUUGUAAUCAUUUUGGCACCUGCAAAAAACAUUUUUAUUUAGGCAAGCAUACCCAGGCAUAUAGAAGCUAUUAUUUUUUUAUCUGUUUUAACUCAUUGUUGGUUUUAUUGUUUUGAAUGUUUUUAAAU